UACCAAGGCGACGAUCAGUAGCCGACCUGAGAGGGUGAUCGGCCACAUUGGAACUGAGACACGGUCCAAACUCCUACGGGGGGCAGCAGUGGGGAAUAUUGCACAAUGGGCGCAAGCCUGAUGCAGCCAUGCCGCGUGUAUGAAGAAGGCCUUCGGGUUGUAAAGUACUUUCAGCGGGGAGGAAGGGAGUAAAGUUAAUACCUUUGCUCAUUGACGUUACCCGCAGAAGAAGCACCGGCUAACUCCGUGCCAGCAGCCGCGGUAAUACGGAGGGUGCAAGCGUUAAUCGGAAUUACUGGGCGUAAAGCGCACGCAGGCGGUUUGUUAAGUCAGAUGUGAAAUCCCCGGGCUCAACCUGGGAACUGCAUCUGAUACUGGCAAGCUUGAGUCUCGUAGAGGGGGGUAGAAUUCCAGGUGUAGCGGUGAAAUGCGUAGAGAUCUGGAGGAAUACCGGUGGCGAAGGCGGCCCCCUGGACGAAGACUGACGCUCAGGUGCGAAAGCGUGGGGAGCAAACAGGAUUAGAUACCCCUGUAGUC
rnacentral:rRNA from 1 species